GGAGGGGUCAGCGAGGAAGGACAAACCACAUGGCAACGUGGUGCUUCUCUUCCCUUUGAUUGACAGACCCCUUCUAAGACCUCCAGAGCAGAUCCUCCCAUCUGCCAUCAUUAACAAAAUGGCCCAUCUCCGGCAGGAUUAACUGGGCUUGAGGGAUGCUUGCCUGGGAACAGGGUUGGAGGCAGACGGCAUCCUGUGGCUCCGGCCCUAAGACAACAAAACCCAGAAUGUGCUGACUCUUGGCCCUUCACUAGGAACCAAGCUGAGUCUUUCCACAGGGGGAGACAUGGGGCAGAGGGGAGCAUGGGUGUCAGGCCAUUCUGAGCUAGGGAAGCCCAGAGAACAAGGGUCUUGCAAGAGGUUUGGGGAUGGAGUAGAGGUGCUGGAGGCUCACACCUCAUUAGGCAGCAAAAGUGAAUCCUACUCUGCAGACACUGUUUUGGAGUUGGUAAUCAUUUUAAAAACUCCACCUGCUAUGCAUUCACCCUUUCACAUACCUUCUCCCAUCCAAACACAGCUGUCUCUCCCGUGUCUACCAGCAGGGCCUCAGAAAACAUCAACAAGGCUGGGUUCAAGCCCUCGCUCAUGUUUCUUUGCCUUUUUUCUAUUUCUGUAUUAUCUUAGAACUGUGAUUCUUCAAUCAUGGUCCCCAUAGCCGCAGAGUCAGCAUUACCUGGUAGGUUGUCAGAUAUGCUAAUUCUUAGACUCCACCCCAACCCUACAGAAUCUAAACUCUGGGGCUGAGACUGGUAAUCUGCAGCUUAAGAAGUUCUCCAGGUGCCCCUAAUGAUCCCAGAGGCUUGAGAAUCAUUCUCCUUGAGAUGCGUGGCAGAAAUAAGGCCCUCCACCAGCAUUCAAAAUGUCAGAGUUGACACCUGCGUGAUGAACGGGUGUCACUUUUGAAAAGGAAAGAAAUAAUAACUGUUUUUAUGUACAUCACCCCUUGUCCACAUGCACACAUGCAGAAGAAUGGGUACAGGUCAGAGAAUGACUUGCUCCUCAUUCCUCCUGUAUUUAACAUCUGUUCCCCACGCUUUGGGUUGUUUGAACAAGAGAAUCAGUACCGGGAUAAACUGGUUUGUAGGAUGUUGGGAGGCAGGUGCAGCCUGCCCCUUUAAUGCAAGCUGAGAACAAACAUG
rnacentral:lncRNA from 1 species